GAUGAACGCUGGCGGCGUGCUUAACACAUGCAAGUCGAACGAGCUUUAUUACUACGAUCCCUUCGGGGGUGACGGUUUUAAAGCGAGUGGCGGACGGGUGAGUAACGCGUGGAUAACCUGCCAUAUACUGGGGGAUAACAGCUGGAAACAGCUGCUAAUACCGCAUAAAACUGUAGAGUCGCAUGACUUUAUAGCCAAAGCUCCGGCGGUGUAUGAUGGAUCCGCGUCUGAUUAGGCAGUUGGCGGGGUAACGGCCCACAAACCGACGAUCAGUAGCCGACCUGAGAGGGUGACCGGCCACAUUGGGACUGAGACACGGUCCAGACUCCUACGGGAGGCAGCAGUGGGGAAUCUUCCGCAAUGGGCGAAAGCCUGACGGAGCAACGCCGCGUGAGUGAAGAAGGUCUUCGGAUCGUAAAGCUCUGUUGUCGGGACGAAUGUUGAGACCUAGAACAUAGGUUUCAAAUGACGGUACCUGACGAGGAAGCCACGGCUAACUACGUG
rnacentral:rRNA from 1 species